AUUGAACGCUAGCGGGAUGCCUUACACAUGCAAGUCGAACGGCAGCACGGACUUCGGUCUGGUGGCGAGUGGCGAACGGGUGAGUAAUGUAUCGGAACGUGCCCAGUAGCGGGGGAUAACUACGCGAAAGCGUAGCUAAUACCGCAUACGCCCUACGGGGGAAAGCAGGGGAUCGCAAGACCUUGCACUAUUGGAGCGGCCGAUAUCGGAUUAGCUAGUUGGUGGGGUAACGGCUCACCAAGGCGACGAUCCGUAGCUGGUUUGAGAGGACGACCAGCCACACUGGGACUGAGACACGGCCCAGACUCCUACGGGAGGCAGCAGUGGGGAAUUUUGGACAAUGGGGGAAACCCUGAUCCAGCCAUCCCGCGUGUGCGAUGAAGGCCUUCGGGUUGUAAAGCACUUUUGGCAGGAAAGAAACGUCAUGGGUUAAUACCCCGUGAAACUGACGUACUGCGAUAAG
rnacentral:rRNA from 1 species